rnacentral:tRNA from 1 species
UACAUCGGCCGGGAAUCGAACCCGGGCCGUCCCCGUGGCAGGCGAGCAUUCUACCACUGAACCACCGAUGG